ensembl:snRNA U4 U4 spliceosomal RNA
AGCUUUGUGCAGUGGCAGUGUCAUAGCCAGCGAGAUUUACUCAAGGCAUCAUUGUUGCUAAUGAAAAAAUUCUUCACUGUUUGAGGAAGACUAAUAAUUACUAAGUUAUGUAAAAAUUCUAUUGUU